CUUCGUACUCCCAUGAGUCCUUUAUUCCCAUGGCUCAGUCACAUCCCUUUUCCUGAGAGUCCCAAGUUGGUUUAUUCUCAGCGUGACAGAAUGGUGGGGGUGUUUAGCUGGAAUCCUCAUUGUGUGUUGAACAUGCACAUUUUAAAAGUCUUUUAAUUUCUAUUUAGGCAGAGUUUACCCAAGGGACAUCUCCUUUCCUCCUGAGUUUUCUCCCUCAUCAAAGGACCACAAGGUUGUCUAAGUUGCUUCAGGAAAUGCUUGAAUGUGUACUUUAAAAAUGGUAGAACACAAUAUUUUCCUUUAGUCUCAAGGUCAGAAAUAGCUGAUCUUUGUUUUUCCCUCCCACUAGAAGUUCAUUCAAAAUCAGACACCCACACUAUAAUGUAGUUUCAAGGAAAAAAUGUGGCACAACCAUAAAUGCUUCAAGGCACGAUCCUAUUCUGGAAAGCACUGGGCAACCAUCGCUUGAGAUUCCUGCUAGCCUUAUGUAGCCUUAUUUGUUGCAUAUAUAUAUAUAUACACACACAUACAUACAUUCAUAUUCAUGCCAAUAGCUUAUUAUGUAAACACAUGCUUAUCUCUAAAGCCUGGGAACAUUUAAAAAACUAAAUCAUAACCACAGCAGUACAUAUUUUAAGCUUAGUGCUCUUCAUUCAGUCAAAAACCAGCCAAAAUACUCCUGUUAAAUUACUUGCAUGAUUUUCUAUCUUGUUUCUGCUAGCUAUCAUAGUCGUAAUUUAAAUUUUGAUGUUUUUUCAUGUUUCUGCAAAACAGCAUUUCAGGGCCCUUCAGCUUUGCUACUGCAGGAACAGCCUCAGUGGUUCACCUGGGCUGCUCAGGAGUGUGAGGCUGCAGAAAGGCUAUAUACAAAACUGGAUGUGCACCUUAUCUCCCUUCUCUCUAUAUCUUCAUGCUCCAGUGCCAGGAGAUGGAACGACUGCUGGAUAGAUUCUCUCAUAUGCAAUGCCAGUGUUCAACACCUCCUAGUGCUGGUGGAAGGUGAUGACAGCUCCUCAGUGACUCAAAGGGUGAAAUUUUUGCCACCGGGUAAUGAGAAUGUCUAGAUGUACAUCAGUGUGCAUGAAUUAGAACAAGCUGCUGGCAUUCAGGGGCCCCAGUCAUCCUUGGUGCAUACUUUCCCUCUCAUCUGUGUUUGCAAGAUACCCUCAAGAAGAUUCAGGGACCUGUUUCUAGUAGGAUUCAGGAAUGACCCUGGUACAACAUAUUAAUAAGAAAAGUGUACACCUUCAAUAUGAGGGAAUUUAUCUUCUUUCUAUCAACAAUGAUCUUCAAGUUUGGAUAAUCUCUGUUUUGGUAGUGUUUCUUUAAAUGAGAGCUCUUAGACUUCUUUUUUGUUAUGAAAAAUGAAACAGCAUGUCUGAAGUCUCUUAUCUCCCUGAGCAAGGCCACAGCAUUUUGCUGAGGUGAGUUCAGUGCCAGAUCUUGGUGUGGAGAGUAAGCAGAGAGGCAGCCCAGAGCAUUUAGAUACCAGACCUCUGAAUGCCACCUUACACUGCCAGGAAUCUCAAAAGCAAAAUAUGCUGCUAGUAUCUGAAAAACAAAUAACACUGGCCACAUUAAUUUAUUGCAGUGUGAAGAAGUUCUAUUACCACUUCUCUGCAGAGAGUUAUCAGAUUUUAUGAUAUAGCCAAAGAUAAGAUCUUUAGCUCAGGAAGUCCCUUAGCUGGUCUUAUCUUAGUGGUGUAACACUUCCAAUGACAUCAUAUGUGGCUAGGUUACACACACAUGUUAGUCAAACAAGAGAAGAAACUUAAUGUUUGGAAAACCAAAAACAAAAUCAAAGAGAGAAGGAUUACUGGCAUGAAAAAGUUCAAGAGCUGUCAGCACUUCUGAAGUUAUUGCUAAAAAAAGUGGCCUUAGAGAUUUCUUUCUUUUUUUUUUAAUUAUUUGCUUUCAUUUAAAUAAAAUCUUUAUUGUAUACGAAUAUGUUUUUCAUAUUGUAUAUGAAGAUGUUUCUUCAUGCUUGAGUGCUUUUCAAAAGGAUGUAAGUUUACACUUAAUAUUUUAUAUCUCCAUAGCUUCUCUUAACUGAUACUACAGUGAGUGAAUUAGGACAUAUACUGUGGAUGAUAUAAAUAACAUACUCUUCUUGUGGAAGUGUCCUUAAAUAAAGAUUUUUAGCUUUGACUUAGAAUAUCUUUUCACAGCAAACACAUGUCUUUUAUUUGUCAUUUUUCAUGACCUUUUAUUUCAAGAAUGUCUGCACAUAUGCUGACAUUUUGUAUUUGUCAUCCCUUAGACAUAGUAAUUGCUCUAUUUGCCUUCUAGUGCCACAGAGUUCAUUCGUAGAGCCAUUUCUUUUUAUUGCUAUACACUCUAAGGCUUUUCCAUCAUGCAUUCCAUUCACUUACAGAAAAGAAAGGUAAAAUCUUCAUUUUUGCAACAGUGACUAAAGCAUCAUUGCCUUGGGUACUUUUCUCCUUUGUUGCAGAUAGUAGCAACAACUAUUCAUGUAAUGAAUAUAUUUUAUCUUUAACUUACUGGGUUUUCCAGCUUAAUACUACUGUUUUUUGCCAUUACACCUGCUUCUUUGAUGGUAAUUAAUGUCCUUCUU
rnacentral:lncRNA from 1 species